rnacentral:misc_RNA from 1 species
GAAAUGCGAUAAGUAAUGUGAAUUGCAGAAUUCAGUGAAUCAUCGAAUCUUUGAACGCACAUUGCGCUCCUUGGUAUUCCGAAGAGCACGCCUGUUUGAGUAUCGAAAAAACCAUCAAGUCUUGGUCUCGGAGUUCUCUCCGAUCGACUUUGAGACUUGGAGCUGGACUGUCCUUACCUUCACAAGUAAGGCAGCCUUAAAGUCGAGCGUUGGAAGCUGGAUCUCCUCUUCUGGGAUCGCUGCCCGAAUGUCAUGAAUUGAGAUCUCCUCUCGGGGGGAAUUCUUCAUUAUUCUUUCUUGCAGCUUGAGCCUGGUGGAGCACCGGUCGACCGAUUCACCCACUACCACACGAGGGGUCGUUUCACGAUCCGUCGAAUACUUGGUCUCAAAUCAGGCGGGA